AUAUGUUGCGCUGCCGCAUCGUCACCUGAGAUCGAUUCUAUGGUGCAGCUGUCACGCGUAAUUACCUCUGCUACACCCAAGGCACAUCUGGUUGUGUUGCUGUUGAACCAUCAAAUCUCAAAGCUACAAAGAACUACAGCGUCCCGACAAGAUAAGGCGACUGUUCCCUCAUAUCAAAUUAAAAGCAAAAACAGCGUCCAGUAUCAAACAUCGCGUACAUGAAGCUAUUGGAAGAAAGACCACAGUUCAGAGGCAGACUCGGUCUCGUCGCGACUGCUGCUCGCUUCGUCGCAAGCUGCCCUACCAUGCUGGUGACGCGCCUCCGCCUCGCUCCGAGUUCAUCUCGAUCUGGGACGGUGUCGCCCUGUAUUAAGCCGACCCCGAGCCACAACAUCCUCUGAGCCGCCGCUCUUACGGUCGACUCCACCCGCUGUAUUGCGAUGAGCUCCGGCCACCCGCUCACCUG
rnacentral:lncRNA from 1 species